GAUGAACGCUAGCGGCAGGCUUAAUACAUGCAAGUCGAACGGUAAGUAGUGUAGCAAUACAUUACCAAGAGUGACGUACGGGUGCGUAACACGUAUGCAACCUACCUUGUACAGGAGUAUAGCUCGGGGAAACUCGAAUUAACCCUCCAUAAGAUCGUGGUGUGGCAUCACACAGCGAUAAAAACUCAGGUGGUACAAGCUGGGCAUGCGUCUGAUUAGAGUUGGCGGGGUAACGGCCCACCAAGACGAUGAUCAGUAGGGGAACUGAGAGGUUGAUCCCCCACACUGGC
rnacentral:rRNA from 1 species